rnacentral:rRNA from 1 species
GCUGGCGGCGUGCUUAACACAUGCAAGUCGAACGGUGAAGGGAUCAGCUUGCUGGUCCUGGAUGAGUGGCGAACGGGUGAGUAACACGUGAGUAACCUGCCCCCUUCUUCUGGAUAACCGCAUGAAAGUGUGGCUAAUACGGGAUAUUCUGGGUCUGUCGCAUGAUGGGUCUGGGAAAGAUGCGCCUUUGGGUGUUUUUGGUGGGGGAUGGGCUCGCGGCCUAUCAGCUUGUUGGUGGGGUGAUGGCCUACCAAGGCGGUGACGGGUAGCCGGCCUGAGAGGGUGGACGGUCACACUGGGACUGAGACACGGCCCAGACUCCUACGGGAGGCAGCAGUGGGGAAUAUUGCACAAUGGGCGCAAGCCUGAUGCAGCGACGCCGCGUGAGGGAUGGAGGCCUUCGGGUUGUGAACCUCUUUCGCCAGUGAAGCAGGCCUGUCCCUUUUGUGGGUGGGUUGACGGUAGCUGGAUAAGAAGCGCCGGCUAACUAC